GACUGAAAGCCCAUCCAGUGCCCGGGCAGGGCCCCUCCACUGUCCCAGGUUCCUCCACUGUCCCAGGUUCCUCCACUGUCCCAGGUUCCUCCAGCCCCCGGGACCUGAGCUCGGUGCUCCAGCCCCUCCUUGUCCCCGUGCCCAGGACACUCCACCUCUGCCACGGUGCGAAUGAAGAAUCCUUAUUUUUCGUUGUUUUUCACUCCCUUCCCCAUUUAACAGCUCCAGGUCUCUUCCCAGCUAUCAUGCAAAACAAAACUCUGGACAAAACUCUCUCCUUUUCCUUUGAAGGAGCUAACGAGAGCCUGGGUGACAUUAAUGGAUAAUUAAAGGCAGCUCUGAUGAGCCCAG